UACGUAGGUGGCAAGCGUUGUCCGGAUUUACUGGGCGUAAAGAGCGCGCAGGCGGUCGUGCAAGUCGCGUGUGAAAGCCCCCGGCUCAACUGGGGAGGGUCACGCGAUACUGCUCGACUCGAAGGCAGGAGAGGGUAGUGGAAUUCCCGGUGUAGUGGUGAAAUGCGUAGAUAUCGGGGAGGAACACCAGUGGCGAAGGCGACUACCUGGCCUGUUCUUGACGCUGAGGCGCGAAAAGCUAGGGGGAGCAAACGGGG
rnacentral:rRNA from 1 species